rnacentral:snoRNA from 1 species
GCUGUCGAUGAUGCUUCUAUUCUACCUACAUUGUUUGAAUAUUCUUAAAUGAGAACAUGAAACACAUCUGAGACACAC